UCAAAGCGUGUCACCCGAAGAUUAAGAGUUUCUUCUUUGCGACGGAUUGUCUGGAGGAGAUGAACAGGUGGAUGAACCGUCUGGGUCUCGCUGCUAUUGGAUACACUCCGGAUGAAAAAGACAUCAGGCCCAAUGAAGAUUACUGGAGCGAGAGCGACCAGGAUGAUAUUGAUGGCUCCAUGACCUUGAAGCAGGAACCGGCCACCACCGUGAGCGACGCCUAUCACCGAAACU